rnacentral:tRNA from 1 species
GGACCGGUUAGCUCAGUCAGUUGAGCAGAGCGCUGAGAACGCCAAGGUCGCGAGUUCAAUUCCCGUUCGGUCCC